rnacentral:rRNA from 1 species
UACGUAGGGAGCAAGCGUUGUCCGGAAUCAUUGGGCGUAAAGCGCGCGUAGGUGGCCCUGUAAGUCCGUUGUGAAAGUCAAAGGCUCAACCUUUGAAAGCCGAUGGAUACUGCAGGACUAGAGUACGGAAGAGGCGAGUGGAAUUCCCGGUGUAGCGGUGAAAUGCGCAGAUAUCGGGAGGAACACCAAUGGCGAAGGCAGCUCGCUGGGACGUUACUGACGCUGAGACGCGAAAGCGUGGGGAGCAAACAGG